CUACGUGCCAGCAGCCGCGGUAAUACGUAGGUGGCGAGCGUUGUCCGGAAUUAUUGGGCGUAAAGGGAGCGCAGGCGGACAUAUAAGUCCAUCUUAAAAGUGCGGGGCUCAACCCCGUGAGGGGAUGGAAACUGUAUGCCUUGAGUGCAGGAGAGGAAAGCGGAAUUCCCAGUGUAGCGGUGAAAUGCGUAGAUAUUGGGAGGAACACCAGUGGCGAAGGCGGCUUUCUGGACUGUAACUGACGCUGAGGCUCGAAAGCCAGGGGAGCGAACGGGAUUAGAUACCCCGGUAGUCCUGGCCGUAAACGAUGAAUGCUAGGUGUAGGAGGUAUCGACCCCUCCUGUGCCGGAGUUAACGCAAUAAGCAUUCCGCCUGGGGAGUACGGUCGCAAGACUGAAACUCAAAGGAAUUGACGGGGGCCCGCACAAGCGGUGGAGUAUGUGGUUUAAUUCGACGCAACGCGAAGAACCUUACCUGGUCUUGACAU
rnacentral:rRNA from 1 species